rnacentral:lncRNA from 1 species
GUCACGACUGACACCAUGGGCUCCACCCACGACACGUCUGCAGCUGCACCGGGCCCGCAGGACAGGGAAAAGACGAGCAACGAGGAAAGGUGAACGCUUACAAGUGGACCAGUUGGGUGUGUGUGUGUGUGAGCUGGCAUGCGUGCCGGUGAGGCGUGGUUAUAUGGCGUGGCCUGUAUGCCGCAAGGGGAUUAUCAAUUAUUGUAUCCAAACAGAUCUAGAAGAGAAGCUGAUCUUCUCCUUCCUUCGGCACCCUCUCCUUCCCUGAUCCACCUACUACUCCUUCUCUCUUCCUCCUAGAUCCUGAUCGGGUACGUUACAAGUGGUAUCAGAGGUCAGCCAUCCUGGAAACAGCCUACCCCCGGCCGCGGUACACCACCAAACAAGCCCAGAAGACAGCGGCGAUGGAGGAACAGCUUGCGGCGCUGAUCCAGUCCGUCAACGAGGGGCGCGCCGCCAGCGACGCCAAGUUGGAGGCGAUCCAGCAGUCUAUCAAGCUGUGGCGACCGGCGGUCUCCAACCCGCAACAUCAGCUAGAUGAGCUUCGAUCUCAGGUCGGCAAAAUCGCCCUGCAUCCAGCGCUCGCGGAUCCAGACACGACGGCGGCGUCAUCGUCCGCGGCGCGACGGGCGGCGCCUCAACCUAGCGCUGGCAUCGGCCACCAUGGGCCCGCUGGCCACGGCGAGAUCCACGACUCCGGAGGCUCGGUACACGGGGUGGUCACCACCCUGGAACCGCCUCCGGUCACGGGUGCGUUUCAUUCCCCUGUUGCUUCUACAUCUAGAGAGUUGGCGUUGGGUGCUGUCGCUGAACACUCAUCACCACAUGGCGCACAGCACAGCCACUGGGUUCUGCCUAAAUUGGAUUUCCCCCAAUUCGAUGGGGAUAAUCCACAAUUUUGGCGGAUCAAGUGUGAGAAGUAUUUCGAUGUAUAUGGAGUCCAUCCAGAAUUGUGGGUUCAUGUCGCCACACUGCACUUCACCAGCAACGCCGCGCGUUGGCUGCAGCUGCAUGAUCUGAGCACUAGAUCAUUUACUUGGGAAAAAUUAUGUGAGUCUCUUUGCAGUAAGUUCGGACGCGACCAAUAUCAGGCGCAGCUUCGUCAGUUUGCCGCACUCUGCCAAACUGGGUCAGUCACAGAAUAUAUGAAUCAUUUUGAAGAGAUGAUGCACCAAUUGCUUGCACACAAUGCGGGAUUUGAUCCCCUUUACUUUACCACUAAAUUCCUAGAUGGCCUGCGUGCUGAAAUUCGUGCUGGGGUAGUACUGCAUCGACCACAAGAAUUGGAUACUGCCUUUUCCUUGGCUCUGUUGCAGGAGGAGAUUUUGGAGGCAUUGCCACAUCGCGAGUACCGGCGUCUGGAGGGUGCUCCCGGGCGAGCUCCGACGCGCCCACUGCUGGCUAAUGUCGUGCCACCCGCGCGCGUUCCACUGCCCGUUCCACAAGCUGCGGCGGAGGAUCGUCGCGGCCUCGACGCGGCUCGCGCUGGCGACCACCGACAAGACCAAGGGUGUGGCAAUGACCGAAUUGCGGCGCUGCGUAACUAUCGCCGUGCGCGAGGGCUUUGCUUUAAAUGUGGGGAGCGCUGGGGGCAAGGCCACCAGUGCGCUGCCACGGUACAGCUGCAUAUUGUGGAGGAACUACUCGACCUAUUGCAAGCCGAUGACAGAGAUCAGCAAGUGCAAGAGCAAGUGGCAGAAGAAGAGGAGCAGAUUAUGUCCAUUUCAAAACUGGCAACGACGGGGCAGACGACUCCGCGAACAGUUCGUUUGCUGGGGCUGAUUGAUGACCAGGAAGUGCUAAUUCUGGUUGAUUCUAGAAGCUCUCACAGCUUCAUCAGCGAGGCGGUAGCGGACAGAUUUGCCAACAGAAUCAGUAAGAUGACUCCAGUUUCAGUUAAGGUGGCGGAUGGUGGACUGUUGUCGUGCUCAGGUUACAUCAAGCAGUGCCAAUGGAGCACUUAGGGGCAUGAGUUUGUCACGGACCUGCGGGUAUUGUCACUCGGGUGUUACGACAUGGUCAUCGGCAUGGACUGGCUAGAGAGUUGUGGGCCUAUGCUCGUGGACUGGACAAAGAAAACAUUGAAAUUCCAACAGGAUGGGUGCGACGUUCAGUUGCAAGGGUUGUGUCCGGACAUUCAGCAGAUGGCACAAAUUUCAGCAGCACAGUUGGAUGAUCUAGAAAUGACCAACUCUAUCGUACACGUAGUUCUGCUCUAUACAGCGGAGCAACAAAAUGACCAGCCACCGAUUCCAGCUCGACUGCAACAAGUUUUGGACAGGUUUCAAGCAGUGUUUGAUGAGCCUUCAGAGCUUCCGAAGCAGAAACCAUGGGAUCAUGCGAUUCCCCUCAUGGCAGGCACAAAGCCAGUAAACAUCCGCCCAUAUCGAUAUACUCCGGAGCAGAAAGAUGAAAUCGAAGCCCAAGUGAAGGAAAUGCUAAAAAAAGGGCUCAUUACGCCAAGUGCCAGUCCCUUCGCGUCGCCUGUUCUGCUAGUCAAAAAGAAGGAUCUAACCUGGCGCUUCUGUGUCGACUUCAGGCAUUUGAAUGCCAUUACUAUCAAGGCGCGCUACCCCAUGCCGGUGAUAGAUGAGCUAUUGGAUGAGCUUGCCGGCUCGCGUUGGUUCUCCAAGCUAGAUCUACGCGCUGGUUACCAUCAGAUCCGUCUCCGCCCCGAGGACGAGUACAAGACAGCCUUCAAGACUCACCAAGGGCAGUUUCAGUUCCGAGUGUUGCCCUAUGGUGUGACAAGCGGACCACCUACAUUCCAAGGAGUUAUCAAUAUAGUGUUGUCCCCAUUAUUGCGCCACGGUGUGUUGGUGUUUAUGGACGACAUCCUCAUUCAUUCCGCCACCCUAGACGAGCACGAGAUUUUGUUGACGCAAGUGCUACAAUUACUCAAGGAGAAUGAACUGUUUGCCAAACGAUCCAAAUGCACCUUCGCACAACAAAAAAUCCAUUAUCUUGGUCAUGUGAUCAGCCAGCAAGGGGUGGCAACAGAUGACAGUAAGGUGGAGGCCGUCAGAGAUUGGCCAGUGCCAGACUCCGUCAAGAAAUUGCGAGGAUUCUUAGGCCUUGCGGGAUAUUACAGGAAGUUUGUGAGAAACUUUGGGGUUCUUAGCAAGCCAUUGACAGAUCUGCUACGCAAAGGAGUGGUGUUCGUGUGGACACCAACAGCUAAUGAGGCAUUCUGUGCCCUAAAACAAGCUCUGAUUGUAGCGCCGGUGCUAGCACUACCUGAUUUUGCAAAACAAUUCAUUGUCGAGACGGAUGCGAGCGCUACAGGCAUUAGCGCCGUAUUGAUGCAGGAGUUCCAUCCCAUCGCGUACCUGAGUAAGGCCUUGGCACCGAAGAACUUGGGGCUCUCCGCAUACGAGAAAGAAUGUUUGGCUUUAUUGCUGGCAAUCGACCAUUGGCGUCCGUAUUUGCAGCAUGCAGAGUUCGUCAUCCGCACUGACCAGAAAAGUUUGCUGCACCUUACCGAUCAAAGGCUCAACACACCAAUCCAGCAGCGUGCAUUCACAAAGUUAAUCGGGCUCCAGUACUCAAUUCAGUACAACGCGGGGCAGUUAAACAGAGCUGCGGAUGCACUAUCUCGUCGUGAUCAUCCUGACGAGGUGUCGGCUAUGGCAUUGUCGGUUUGCAAACCAGUGUGGUUGGAGGCUAUCAGCAGUAGCUACCACGAGGAUCUAUCGGCCAAGACCUUAAUGACACAACUAGCCGUCGAUCCCACCAGUGAGCCUGACUAUCAGUUGCAAGGAGGCAUUCUGCGUUUCAAAGGCAGAGUGUGGGUAGGGAGCCAUGAGGAAACGCAACUCCAGAUUAUCCGAGCACUACACGCUAGUGCUGCUGGGGGGCACUCUGGGUUCCAUGCCACCUACAACAGGGUCAAGAGACUGUUUGCUUGGAAGGGUUCUAAACAACAACUGAAGACUUUUGUCCAACAGUGCCUAGUAUGCCAGCGAGCAAAAACAGAGCGCAGCUCACCAGCUGGGUUGCUACAGCCACUCCCCAUUCCACAACGGCCAUGGGCGGUGAUAUCUCUGGAUUUUAUCGAAGGAUUACCCAAGUCCGGAGGCUACAAUGCAAUUUUGGUGGUGGUCGAUAAGUUUUCCAAAUACGCCCAUUUUAUCCCACUGACACACCCUUUUACAGCUCUCGACGUGGCCAAAGUGUUCAUGCAGGAGAUCUUUAAGUUGCAUGGCCUGCCGCUGGGCAUCAUAUCUGAUACCGCAUCUUCACCAGCCAAGUGUGGCAGGAAUUGUUCAAACUGUGUCGCACAGAGAUGAACAUGAGCUCCUCGUACCACCCGCAGACGGACGGGCAAACAGAGCGGGUCAACCAGUGCUUGGAAACGUAUUUGCGAUGCUCGGUGCAUUCAUGUCCUGGGAAUUGGGCCAAAUGGCUGGCACUCGCCGAGUAUUGGUAUAACACUUGCUUCCACUCGGCUUUGGGUCGCACUCCAUUUGAGGUGAUAUAUGGACAUUUGCCUAGGGAAUUUGGCAUCGCCUCGGUGGACAGCAGUACAGUACCUGAUCUAGCUGCCUGGCUGAAAGAAAGAGAAGUGCUCAUUGAACACCUACAGCAGCAACUGAAGAAGGCCCAGGAUAGAAUGAAGGCUCAAGCGGAUCGGCAUCGCACGGACAGAUCAUUUGAAGUAGGGGACAUGGUAUUGCUCAAGCUGCAGCCAUUCAUCCAAACGUCGGUGGCUCGCCGCCCAUUUCAGAAACUUGCCUUCCGUUACUAUGGUCCGUAUGAGGUGCUGGCAAAGGUCGGAGCAGCGGCGUAUCGCCUGAAGUUACCCGACGACAGUAGAAUCCAUCCGGUGGUGCAUGUGUCCCUGCUCAAGCGUGCGAUGGGCGCUGAGGUUCCGGUAAAUGCUGAUCUUCCUCCCACUAAUGCAGUGUUACAGGCGGAGCAGGUGCCGAAGCGUAUCCUGGACCAGAAGAAGAUUUCCAAGCAUGGCGUCGAGCAUCAACGUGUGCUGGUGCAAUGGGGGGAGCUCCCUGCGUCCUUGUCCACAUGGGAGGAUCUGGCUCAGCUGCGGCAGCAGUUCCCAACAACGCNNNNNNNNNNNNNNNNNNNNNNNNNNNNNNNNNNNNNNNNNNNNNNNNNNNNNNNNNNNNNNNNNNNNNNNNNNNNNNNNNNNNNNNNNNNNNNNNNNNNNNNNNNNNNNNNNNNNNNNNNNNNNNNNNNNNNNNNNNNNNNNNNNNNNNNNNNNNNNNNNNNNNNNNNNNNNNNNNNNNNNNNNNNNNNNNNNNNNNNNNNNNNNNNNNNNNNNNNNNNNNNNNNNNNNNNNNNNNNNNNNNNNNNNNNNNNNNNNGAGCUGGCAUGCGUGCCGGUGAGGCGUGGUUAUAUGGCGUGGCCUGUAUGCCGCAAGGGGAUUAUCAAUUAUUGUAUCCAAACAGAUCUAGAAGAGAAGCUGAUCUUCUCCUUCCUUCGGCACCCUCUCCUUCCCUGAUCCACCUACUACUCCUUCUCUCUUCCUCCUAGAUCCUGAUCGGGUACGUUACAGACGCGCUGGCCAUGGCUUCCCCUCGCCAUCGCCAGGACGG